GUUAUACAUAAACCUCACCAGGGGAAAAAUUUACAUUAAAAACACUUAGGGGGGUUUGGAGGUUAAAUUGUUAUAGAAAUGCAUGUUAACUUGCUUACUUUCAAUGUCUUCCACCUACCUUUCUUGAUCUUACAAAAUUAUAAUUAUUUUAUUUGGAUAGGUAUGGUAUAAUGAUGUAUUAUAGAGAAGGGCAGACUUUGAAUCAAGAAAAGCUGGGUUCACAAUAUACCUCAGUCACAUACUAGCUGUGUAACUAUGGGAAUUUAUAUAGAUAUAAUAAUAAAAGCUCCAGUAGAAUUUCUUGAGUCCAGACUACUUAAUCUAUUUAUCUGUAUCCAGAGCCUAGCACCAUGUCUGGGAUGUAGCUUAAAAAUUGCUUGUGGACUGAUGGUAUAAUUAUGGUAUGAUUAUGAGAUGGGAGUAAAUUUAGAAACCCUAUGUUAUUUUUUGUUUGGUCAUUUCCGGUCAUGUCCAACCAUUCAUUAUUCUAAUUGGGGUUUUCUUGGCAAAGGUACUGGAUGGUUAGCCAUUUCCUUCUCUUGUUCAUUUUACACAUGAGAAAACUGAGGCAAAUAGGGUUGAGUGAUUUGUUUAUGAUCACAUAGCUAGUCCAGGCCCAACACUUUACCCACUGAGCUGCUUACCUGCUGUCUAGAAUUCAUUUAAUCCAACCCCAUAGUUUUACAGAUAAGGAAAUUGAGGUCAAGAGAAACCAAAUAAAGUCAGUAGUAUAAGAGAGCUUCAAAUCUAGACUUACUGGCUCCAAAUCUAUUCAUAUUUGUACUAUGUCAUUUGUCUAUGUUUCCAUGUAGCUAUGUAUUUAUUUGUCUGUCUGUCUUUCUGUCUUUCCAUCCAUCAUUCUUUUUCCCCUUCCUUCUAUCUUUCUCUUUCUCUCAAUUUCUUUCUUUCUUUUCCUUCCUUCCUUCAUUCCUCCCUUCCUUCCUGCCUUCCUCCCUUCAUCCCUUCCCUUCCUUAGUUCAUUUGUCAUUUUGUUGUUGCAGUUGUUGUUAUUAUUAUUCUCCUCAUUAAGAGCAUUAGUAAAUCCAUGACCUCAUUAAGGCACAUUUUGUCUCGAAGUAGGGAACAUAAUCUAGGAUAUUCUAUAACAUAUUUAACACAUAUAAGUCUGCUUGCCAUAUCGGGGAGGGGGUGGAGGGAGAGAAGGGAAAAAGCCGAACAGAAGUGAGUGCAAGGGAUAAUGUUGUAAAAAAUUACCUAUGCAUUUGUACUGUCAAUAAAAAAGUUAUAAUUAUUUUUUAAAAAGUAGGGAACAUAGCCUGUUCAUCUCUUCCUUUCCUUUGCAUCUCCUGGCCAUGUUCUCUCAUAAAUUCACAAGUGAUACACCUGACAUGCCAGGUAGCUUCUUAUAGAUUUCUUGACAUUUUAUGUAGACCAGUGGAGCUCAAAUGUUCCACUGUCAGCUACUGAUUAUCUCCCAUUUUUGCUGCAUGAGUGACCUAUCGACCUUCUUUUUCAGUAAUGUUAUUUUCUAAAGCCAUGUUUUGGUUUUUUUUUUUUUUUUUCCCACUCUUACAUCAAUUGUAUGUACCUGCAUGUUUGCUUCUGUAAUUUGGUUCAGAUCUGUAAUUUCAAUGUUGAACUUUGAAGAUUCCUCUCUCUCCAAACUUUCUAUGUGGAAGUAAUGUGCUACAGCUGGUCUAUAAAUUAUAGGUACAGGAUUUAACAGAUACACUGAGAAAUUAAGAGACAACGUUAUGGUCAUAAAGU
rnacentral:lncRNA from 1 species